UACGUAGGGAUCGAGCGUUGUCCGGAAUCAUUGGGCGUAAAGAGCGUGUAGGCGGCCUUUUAAGUCCUGCGUGAAAUCCUGCGGCUCAACCGCAGACGGUCGUGGGAAACUGGAAGGCUAGAGUGCGGGAGAGGAGAGUGGAAUUCCCGGUGUAGCGGUGAAAUGCGCAGAUAUCGGGAAGAACACCCGUGGCGAAGGCGGCUCUCUGGAACGCAACUGACGCUGAGACGCGAAAGCGUGGGGAGCAAACAGG
rnacentral:rRNA from 1 species